GGGUUCAGUGGCAGGGCAUCUGCUUGGCAUGCAGAAGGUUCCAGGUUCGACGGCAUCUCCGGGUCG